rnacentral:rRNA from 1 species
UUAAUUGAAGAGUUUGAUCAUGGCUCAGAUUGAACGCUGGCGGCAGGCCUAACACAUGCAAGUCGAGCGGCAGCGACAACAUUGAACCUUCGGGGGAUUUGUUGGGCGGCGAGCGGCGGACGGGUGAGUAAUGCCUGGGAAAUUGCCCUGAUGUGGGGGAUAACCAUUGGAAACGAUGGCUAAUACCGCAUGAUAGCUUCGGCUCAAAGAGGGGGACCUUCGGGCCUCUCGCGUCAGGAUAUGCCCAGGUGGGAUUAGCUAGUUGGUGAGGUAAGGGCUCACCAAGGCGACGAUCCCUAGCUGGUCUGAGAGGAUGAUCAGCCACACUGGAACUGAGACACGGUCCAGACUCCUACGGGAGGCAGCAGUGGGGAAUAUUGCACAAUGGGCGCAAGCCUGAUGCAGCCAUGCCGCGUGUAUGAAGAAGGCCUUCGGGUUGUAAAGUACUUUCAGCAGUGAGGAAGGAGGUAUCGUUAAUAGCGGUAUCUUUUGACGUUAGCUGCAGAAGAAGCACCGGCUAACUCCGUGCCAGCAGCCGCGGUAAUACGGAGGGUGCGAGCGUUAAUCGGAAUUACUGGGCGUAAAGCGCAUGCAGGUGGUUUGUUAAGUCAGAUG